AACGUAGGUUCCGAGCGUUAUCCGGAUUUACUGGGCGUAAAGCGCGUUCAGGCGGUUUGGCAAGUCGGGCAUGAAAUCUCUCGGCUCGACCGGGAGAGGUUGUCCGAUACUGCUGGACUUGAGGGCAGUAGAGGGUGGUGGAAUUCCGGGUGUAGUGGUGAAAUGCGUAGAUAUCAGGAGGAACACCGGUGGCGAAGGCGGGUCUCUGGGCCGAUACUGACGCUGAGGAGCGAAAGCGUGGGGAGCGAACAGG
rnacentral:rRNA from 1 species